rnacentral:rRNA from 1 species
UACCAGCUCUCCGAGUGGUGGGGACGCUUACUGGGCCUAAAGCAUCCGUAGCUUGCUGGGUAAGUCCUCUGUUAAAUCCAACGAUUCAAUCGUUGGACUGCGGGGGAUACUGUCCAGCUGGGGGGCGGGAGAGGCCGGCGGUAUUCCCGGGGUAGGGGUGAAAUCUUAUAAUCCCGGGAGGACCACCAGUGGCGAAGGCCACCGGCUAGAACGCGCCCGACAGUGAGGGAUGAAAGCUGGGGGAG